UACGGAGGAUCCAAGCGUUAUCCGGAAUUACUGGGCGUAAAGAGUUGCGUAGGUGGCAUGGUAAGUUGAUAGUGAAAUCCUGGGGCUCAACCCCUUACCCAUUAUCAAAACUGCCAAGCUAGAGGACAAGAGAGGUCACUGGAAUUCCUAGUGUAGGAGUGAAAUCCGUAGAUAUUAGGAGGAACACCGAUGGCGUAGGCAGGUGACUGGCUUGUUCCUGACACUAAGGCACGAAAGCGUGGGGAGCGAACGGG
rnacentral:rRNA from 1 species